rnacentral:rRNA from 1 species
UCAGGAUGAACGCUGGCGGCGUGCCUAACACAUGCAAGUCGAGCGAUUCUCUUCGGAGAAGAGCGGCGGACGGGUGAGUAACGCGUGGGUAACCUGCCCUGUACACACGGAUAACAUACCGAAAGGUAUGCUAAUACGAGAUAAUAUGUUUUUGAUCGCAUGGUCGAAAUAUCAAAGCUCCGGCGGUACAGGAUGGACCCGCGUCUGAUUAGCUAGUUGGUGAGGUAAUGGCUCACCAAGGCGACGAUCAGUAGCCGACCUGAGAGGGUGAUCGGCCACAUUGGAACUGAGACACGGUCCAAACUCCUACGGGAGGCAGCAGUGGGGAAUAUUGCACAAUGGGCGAAAGCCUGAUGCAAGCAACGCCGCGUGAGCGAUGAAGGCCUUCGGGUCGUAAAGCUCUGUCCUCAAGGAAGAUAAUGACGGUACUUGAGGAGGAAGCCCCGGCUAACUACGUGCCAGCCGCAGC